rnacentral:rRNA from 1 species
GGCAGCAGUGGGGAAUAUUGCACAAUGGGCGAAAGCCUGAUGCAGCAACGCCGCGUGAGGGACGACGGCCUUCGGGUUGUAAACCUCUUUUAGUAGGGAAGAAGCGUAAAAGUGACGGUACCUGCAGAAAAAGCACCGGCUAACUACGUGCCAGCAGCCGCGGUAAUACGUAGGGUGCAAGCGUUGUCCGGAAUUAUUGGGCGUAAAGAGCUCGUAGGCGGUUUGUCGCGUCUGCUGUGAAAACCCGAGGCUCAACCUCGGGCCUGCAGUGGGUACGGGCAGACUAGAGUGCGGUAGGGGAGAUUGGAAUUCCUGGUGUAGCGGUGGAAUGCGCAGAUAUCAGGAGGAACACCAAUGGCGAAGGCAGAUCUCUGGGCCGUAACUGACGCUGAGGAGCGAAAGCAUGGGGAGCGAACAGGAUUAGAUACCCUGGUAGUCCAUGCCGUAAACGUUGGGAACUAGAUGUGGGGACCAUUCCACGGUCUCCGUGUCGCAGCUAACGCAUUAAGUUCCCCGCCUGGGGAGUACGGCCGCAAGGCUAAAACUCAAAGGAAUUGACGGGGGCCCGCACAAGCGGCGGAGCAUGCGGAUUAAUUCGAUGCAACGCGAAGAACCUUACCAAGGCUUGACAUAUAGAGGAAACGUCUGGAAACAGUCGCCCCGCAAAGGUCUCUAUACAGGUGGUGCAUGGUUGUCGUCAGCUCGUGUC